UACGGCCAAAUCGCAUUGAAACACAGGUUCUCGUACGGUCACCUAAGUUAAGCAAUGUUGAACCUGGUCAGUACCUAGGAUGGGUGACCGCUUGGGAAGACCAGGUGUUGUAA